rnacentral:lncRNA from 1 species
CUUUCUUUUUUUUUUUUUGGUGAUGGUUUUUUAUUAAACAUUCCUAAAGAUAAUUCUUUGUACAGGUGGGGGUAGUUGCUAUCCUGUACACUGUAGGAUGUUUAAUAGCAUCCCUAGCUUCAACCAACUAGAUGGCAGCGGCACCCUUUCUUUAGUUGUUGCAACCAAAAAUGUCCCUAGAUAUUUGCCCUGUGGUCAAAAGUGUCCUCAUUUGAGAACCCCUGAGUUAAAUUGAGGCAGUAGUAUAUAUCUAUGUGUAUGUGUGUGUGUGUGUGUGUGUGUGUGUGUGUGUGUGUGUGUGUGUGUGUAUACAUAUAAAUACAUACCAUAAAAAGAAUCAAAUUCUGCCAUUUGCAGCAAUGUGGAUGCACGUAGAGAAUAUUAUGCUUAGUGAAAUGUAAGACAGAGAAAAAUAUUGUAUGACAUCCUUUACAUGUGGAAUCUAAAAAAAUAAUACAAGUGAAUGUAUAUGCAAAACAGAAACAAACUCACAGCUAUAGAAAAUAAACUUGUGGUUACCAAAGGGCAGGAAGGAGGGAGAAGUUAGGGGUAUGGAAUUAAUAGCUACUAACAACUAUGUAUAUAAAAUAGAUAAGCAACAAGGAUAUAUUGUAUAGCACAGGGAAUUAUAAACAUUACCUUAUAAUAAUUUAUAGUGGAGUAUAAUCUGCAAAAACACUGAAUCACUAUACACAUGAAAAUAACAUAAUAUUGUAAAUAAACUAUACUCCUAUAAAAAAUUAAAGUUUUUAAAAAUUAUGAAAGCUAUAAGCAUGAGAAAUAAGAAUCAUUCAACUUUGCUAAGAUUCACUAUGAAAAGAAUUGGGUAACCCAAAUGGAGGGAAAGUACUAUGGCCUUAGACCAUGAAAGAAAAAUAAGCAGUUAUAUGGAAAUUAAUAUGUUUAGAAGCAUAUUACAGUAGUCAAAUACAUUAUAAAUUUGGACAUCAUCUCAAUGUCACCACCAAAAUGAUUUUUUUAAUUACUCAAUCUCCUGGGGAAAUUACUUUCCAUGAGAUUGUACCUUCAACUGCAUAAUAAAAACAUCAUUCCAAUUACUGAAACACACUUUAUAAUAUUAAUUUCUGGUAUUAUUUUAUAAUCAAAGAUCAGUAGGUUCACAUUCUUAUAAGUAAAAGCAUUUUUAUUUAUAAGAGAGAAUUUUUAUUCCAGCCACUUAUUCAGGAAAUGCUAAUGAUAUUUUAUUGUGGAAAUCUUAACACAAUAUAGUUUCAAUGCACACUUAAUUUGGCAUAUCCAAAGGAGAAACAUCUUCAAGAUAUUACAAAUGUGAAGCCCACUUCAACUGUAAAUGACUCAUUUUUAUGGAUGUGAUUAACAUAUUGCCAGCGCAUUCAACUCUAGAGUAGGAUUUUUAACCACCUCAAAUGUACGCUCAAAAUAAUGUACUCCUAUAAUAUCAGGUUCUUUAUGAAAAUGCAUUCCAGACAAUCCCUCUACUUGAGUAAAAACUGUGAAUUCUUUAUUUGGCCAUGGUUUAUAUGUAGUCUGACAAUUCUUCUAAUCUUUCUUCAAAUCAACAAAUAUCAACCAGUAAAAUAAAAGUAGAUUAUAGGCAAAAUCUAAACUGAUCAGGUACUUUAAGUGUGUCAGUUGUCCUUAAUGUCUCCUGUUUUAUUAUUAACUGCCUACCAUUGAACCAACAUAAAUAUGUUUACCUAAAUGAUCAGAGAAGUUAUCUCCUUCCUAACAUUUACAAGAGGAAAAAUCUUUCUACUUAUUUCAAAAUGGGCUAUGAACACAUUCCUAAAGUAAUUUUAAACAAGUGUAUUCCUCUGAAAUUUGAUUUUGAAAAGAAAAUACACGACUGAAAAUUACACACAGAGAACACUUCAACCAUAACUAUGGAACAAAAAUCACUACAUCUUGAUACACAAUUAAGACACUAUUUUGAAAAUGCAACCACACACUCAAACUCCACCAUUGUUCACUAAACUCUACCAUUUUUCCUCCCACUCCAACCCUUCAAGAUCUUCUUGUGUUGUUCAUGUCAAUUUUAACUCCCAUAUCAUUUUUUCUUCUGUUAAGAACAAUCUGUUGAGUGGUUUCAUUUCUUUAACACAUGCAAUUCAAUUGUGGUUUCAUGUUAAUGUAUAUAACAGCCUGAUUUGUGCAGAUUAUCUGACUCUUCAUUUUCUACCUGUUUGAUUUCUGCAAGUCAAUGGCAUAAAGGAAAUUCUUGCUUUCUAGUUGUAUCACAAUAAGAUAAAUAUAACAACUAGAUGAAAGAGGUUUGGAAUAUAUUAGAGUAUAUUCAAACACAAUGCAAUUCUCUUACAUUUUAACAGUCAUCAUUGAACUUUUAGGGCUCUACCUCUUCUAAGGCACUCUUUCUUCAAACAAGGAAAGGAAAAUGAAAACUAUUUUUGAACUCAUAGUUUUAUAUUGCACAUAGAAUUGUGUCUUAAUUCCAAGUGGACACAAAGACUUAAAAAUUAAAUGGCACACAAUCUCUAAAUAAAAGUAAAAUGCUGGGUUUUUUUCUCAGCUUCCUAUUAGGAGGUUCAGAUUCAAAUAGCUUCUGUCCAGACUAGCAUUCUUCAAUGCUGCUCUUCUCAGCUUAUCGCUAAAACCACUGAAGGCAAUUUUUAAAAUCAAAACUAACAGAUAACCAAUUUCAUAAUCUGGAAGGAACAGAUAUAUUCUAACUUUGAAACUCCUAAGAGGAAUUUAAUGAUGCCAUGACAUAUCCAUAGUUCACUUCUAAUUGCCAGAUUCAAAGAUACAGAAAACUAAGAAUACACCCUUUUUCACUUUAUAAAAAAAGAAGAACCCAGAAUUCUUAGAUUUGGCGAUUAUUCUCUGGAACAAAAAAUUCUUUCACUAUAUCACCUUUAAGGGGGAAAAAGUGAGCAGAAAGUAGGAGGGAGAGGACUGUAAUACAUGUUCUAAAAGACUAGUCUGCAUAUGUAAAAUCUUUGGCAGAUGGUGUGGAAAGGACAGGUGAAUGAGGCACAAAGAAAUUACCCUAAUUUUCUGGGAAUUACAGAUGCCAUGUAAAAUUUCUCCUUACAGUAUCCAAGAAUAAGACUAUGGGAGUUUAAAAAAGAUCAAACUGCAACUGAUGGAAGAUAUCUUAAAUAAAAACUGUCAGAAAAUAGUAACUGAAAUGGAAACAAUGUCCAUUAAACUAUAAAGUGAACAUUUAAGUUUUUACCACCAUUACUGUAUAAAAGGAGCUGGAAGAAGGAAAAUCCACUCAAACUUUGUAUCUUUGUGGCAUUACAUAAAACUGAACUGAAAAAAAGUUUAAGUAUAUUACAAAGGAAAGAGAACGGUAUUUGAAAAAUUCAGAUAAAAUGAAAAGGGGGGCAUUUUAAAAAAGAAAAAUUACAAAGAAUUUAAAAACAGAGUAAAAGAAUUGAUUGAUAGUGAAAGUGGUAGUUUUAAGCAUUAUUUAACUGUUCCAUAAGUUCUCAUAGGUAGAAAGAAAAAGGAGAAUAUGAUAGAGAGGUGGAAAAAUAAAGAGAGGAAAGUUAAAAUACACUUAAUUAGUGUUUCUGGAAGAGAGCCCAGAGCAAUUGAACAGAAACAAUAAUCAAGAAUAUACAGAGUAAAAGGCAAAAGAUCUAUAUGAUCUGAUAUAAUGGAAAAAAUAAAAAUCAUUAUAAACAAAGACCCACACAAAAAAGAGUAUACUGAGGAGUUCCCCUCAUGGCUCAAUGGAGAUGAAUCUGACUAACAUCCAGGAGGACACAGGUUCUAUCCCCGGCCUUGCUCAGUGGGUUAAGGAUCUGGCAUUGUGGUGAGCUGUGGUGUAGGUUGCAGACAUGGCUCAGAUCCUGUGUUGCUUCGGCUGUGGCAUGGGCUGGUAGCUACAGCUCCAACUCAACACCUAGGCUGGUAAUUUCCAUAUGCCACAGGUGUGGCCCUAAAAAACGAAAAAAAAGAAAAAAAUACAUACUGAAAGAAAACUUUCCGAAACUCAAAAAGAGUCACAUGGCUCCAGAAAAAGAUAAAUGAGUAAAGGCCUACUUAAAGUCUCUGUUUUUCUAUUUCUUCAUAAUUAUAUUUUCCUUUUCUUUUCACCCAGUGAGUUCUUACAGAACAGUUUUAAAAUGCUUAAAACUACUACCUUCAGUAUCAAUGAAUGCAUCUAUUAUAUUUUUAGAUUAUUUGUAAUCUUUCUUUUUAAACAUCUUUUUCUAACUUUAAAAUGAAUGAUUAAAGACAUUGCCUGCAGAUCCCCUCAAAUGACCCAGCAGCAUUUCCAAUGCUCCCCGACAAACCCAAGCCCCACACACUCCAUCCCAUGGUCAGCUCACUGUGUGUGUCCCCAAGGUUAGGAGUGGUGAGAAUGAGCCUGUACAGACAGAUAGUAAGCAUGCAGGAUUCUGAGAAAACACACAAACCUGAGCAUUCAGCAUCAAGUUAAAGAAAGCAAAUAGGAAGCUGUCAGUAUAGAGCCUGGUUUUGCAGAAUUGAUAGAAGUCAUGCAACCUUAAGGAUUUCCUCAUAAGAGAGAACAAGAAGUUUGGAGAACGCACAUCCAUAGAAAAGAUCUGAGAAAGCCUCAGACUUUUUUUUUUUUUUUGGUCAUAUUUUUAGGGCCACAGCCACAGCAUAUGGAGGUUCCCAGGCUAGGGGUUGAAUCAGAGUGUAGCCACUGGCCUACACCACAGCCACAGCAACGCCAGAUCUAGGCCAUGUCUGCAAACAUAUACCACAGCUCACAGCAAUGCCAGAUCCUUAACCCAUUAAGUGAGGCUAGGAAUCAAACCUGUGUCCUCAUGGAUGCUAGACAGAUUCGUUUCUGCUGAGCCACGAUGGGAACUCCAAGCCGUAGAGCUCUUAACAGAACUGAAGAAAAUAAUUUCUCCCCGAAAACAGUCAAUAAAGUCUUAAGAAGGUGACUGCUUCUUCAAAUGAAAAAAACAGCAACAUCAGAGCUCAAGGAACAUGAAAAAUAAAGAAAAUGUGACAUUAUCAAAGGAACACAAUAAGUUUUCAGUAGCUGGCCUAAAAGAAAUAAAGGUCUGCACUUUGAUAAUUUAAAAUAGUUGUUCUAAAGAAGUUCAGUGAGCUACAAGAAAACACAGACAGAUAACUCAACAGAAUCAGGCAAAUGGUACAAAAACAAAAUCAGAAGUUUAAAAGAAUAUAAAUCAUAAAAAGAACCAAAAAAUUCUAGAGCUGAAGAAUACAAAAAAAUGAAAUGAUAAAAUAUCAAUAGAGAAUAUCAAAAGCAUACUGGAUCAAGCAGAAUCUGUGAAGUAGAAGAAAAAUCAUUUGAAAUUUUCCAGUCAAAAUAAAAAAAACAAAAAAAGGAA